rnacentral:rRNA from 1 species
CUUACGGCCAGGGCUACACACGUGCUACAAUGGUCGGUACAAAGGGUUGCUACACAGCGAUGUGAUGCUAAUCUCAAAAAGCCGAUCGUAGUCCGGAUUGGAGUCUGCAACUCGACUCCAUGAAGUCGGAAUCGCUAGUAAUCGCGGAUCAGAAUGCCGCGGUGAAUACGUUCCCGGGCCUUGUACACACCGCCCGUCACACCAUGGGAGUUUGUUGCACCAGAAGUAGCUAGCCUAACUGCAAAGAGGGCGGUUACCACGGUGUGGCCGAUGACUGGGGUGAAGUCGUAACAAGGUAGCCGUAGGGGAACCUGCGGCUGGAUCACCUCCUUAACGAA